GGACUGCAGCUGGUGCAGGGCUGGAACUGUUCUGGGUCAGGGUCCUGCUCCAGCCCCAGGGGGGUUCAAAGCCCUUCCUGGGAGUUGCACCAGCCCUGGUGAAGGACAGAGGUGCCUAGAAAUUGCAUUUAUUCAAAGGAAAUAAGUCAUUUGCUGAAAACACACUGUUCUGCUAUGCAAAGGAGAAAAGGCAGGUAUUCCUAAAAUUAACCCAAUGCCAGUGCAAGUCUUUGCUGGGCUCCCAGUCUGCAGGCACUAAACUGGGAGAGCCCAAAGCCUUAUCUAAAGAGUGUCUGAUUUCUGACAGCACUCAAAGAGCAGAUGCCUCCUGUAUUCUUGAGUUCUGUGUCACUCUCAUGCAUCUCACAGAUCCUCACCAGAGCUCUCUCCCAGUGCUCUGUGAUGCAGACACCUGCCUGUAGGAGCCACAUCCUGGUGUUUAAUUUUGUUCCCCUUCUGUUGGGAGGCUGGGGGGCCCUCACUGCUCUCUGCAGCUUCCUGGGGAGGGGAAGGAGGAGCUGAGCUCUUCUCCCUGCUACCCAGUGAUGGUGGAGUGGCUCAAAGCUGUUCUAGGAGGGGUUCAGAAUGAACAUUAGGAGCAUUUCUUUCAGAAUGAACAUUAGGAGCAUUUCUUUCCAGAGAGAGUGGUCAAACACUGGAGCACCUUCCUGGAGAGCUGCUGGAUGCCCCAAGCCUGUCAGUGUUUGAGAGCUGUUUGGACAAUGGCCUUAAUAAUUGUUUUCAUUUUUGGUCAGCCUUGAAGUGGUCAUGGAGUUGGACUAAAGGAUUGUUGUUGGUCCCUUUGGACUGGAAAUUUCUGAUUAAAACUCCUGAUGGAUUGUUCUGUGAUUUGGUCUUGAACUCAUCAGUGACACAGAAA